ACGCUGGCGGCGUGCUUACACAUGCAAGUCGAGCGAUGAAGCACCUUCGGGUGUGAAUUAGCGGCGAACGGGUGAGGAACACGUGAGAAAUCUGCCUUCAACACUGGGAUAACCCCGGGAAACCGGAGCUAAUACCGGAUAUGAAAUCUGCGGGCAUCCGCGGAUUUGGAAAGUUUUUCGGUUGAAGAUGAUCUCGCGGCCUAUCAGCUUGUUGGUGAGGUAAUGGCUCACCAAGGCGACGACGGGUAGCCGGCCUGAGAGGGCGACCGGCCACACUGGGACUGAGACACGGCCCAGACUCCUACGGGAGGCAGCAGUGGGGAAUAUUGGGCAAUGGAGGAAACUCUGACCCAGCGACGCCGCGUGCGGGAUGAAGGCCUUCGGGUUGUAAACCGCUUUCAGCAGGGAAGAAGCGAAAGUGACGGUACCUGCAGAAGAAGCACCGGCUAACUAUGUGCCAGCAGCCGCGGGUAAUACAUAAGGGUGCAAGCGUUGUCCGGAAUUAUUGGGCGUAAAGAGCUCGUAGGUGGUUCGUCACGUCGGGAUGUG
rnacentral:rRNA from 1 species